rnacentral:rRNA from 1 species
UACGAGGGGGGCGAGCGUUGUUCGGAAUUAUUGGGCGUAAAGGGCGUGUAGGCGGGAAGGAAAGUCAGAUGUGAAAUCCCUGGGCUCAACCCAGGAACUGCAUUUGAAACUCCCUUUCUUGAGUGUCGGAGAGGAAAGCGGAAUUCCUGGUGUAGAGGUGAAAUUCGUAGAUAUCAGGAGGAACACCGGUGGCGAAGGCGGCUUUCUGGACGACAACUGACGCUGAGACGCGAAAGCGUGGGGAGCAAACAGG